rnacentral:tRNA from 1 species
GGGGUUGUGGCUCAGUGGUAGAGCACUCGCCUAGCAUGUGUGAGGCAUUGGGUUCAAUUCUCAGCACCACA